UUGCUCGAACCGGCCCAACACGACGUCGGUUUCCAUGCCUCGUUGCCGUCAGGGAGAAGUCGAAGCCAUCAAGAGGGAGGAGGCCCUGCCGCUGCCGGCCUCACUGACGACGAUCCCCGUCCUCCUCCUCCUCCACGCGCGAUGAGCCUCCUGAGGUUCCUGAGGUGCCUCUGCACGGCGCGGCGGGCGCGCGCCCUCACGCCACGGAUGGCGAGCCUGAGCUUCUUCAGCCGGACGCCGACCCUUGCCUGCUUCACCCUCACCAGCGCCGGUGGCCUAGCUACUCCUAGACCUUACCGUACCGCCCUCGACGACGACGACGGCGUCGGAUCGUUGAGCACCUUGUGGAUCAGGAACUGCGCCCGGACGUGCCGCGCCUCCUCUGCGUCCUUCUUGUCCAGCCUGUCGUAG
rnacentral:misc_RNA from 1 species